UUUGGUGGUCAUAGCGACGGCUAAACUCCCGAUCCCUUCCCGAACUCGGCCGAUAAGGGCCGUCACGCCAAUGGUACUGCGUCUCAAGACGUGGGAGAGUAGGUCACCGCCAAAC
rnacentral:rRNA from 15 species